UUAAAAAGCUCGUAGUUGAAUUUCGGGAUUAGUACGCUGGUCGUGCCUUCGGUACGUACUGGUGUUACUGAUUCCUACCUUCUGACGAACCAUCAUGUCAUUAAUUUGGUGUGGUGGGGAAUCAGGACUGUUACUUUGAAAAAAUUAGAGUGUUUAAAGCAGGCUCGCGCUUGAAUACAUUAGCAUGGAAUAAUGAAAUAGGACGUUGAUCCUAUUUUGUUGGUUUCUAGGAUUGACGUAAUGAUUAAUAGGGAUAGUUGGGGG
rnacentral:rRNA from 1 species